AUCCUUCCAGCCAUGACCCCACCUACAGCAAAGGCUAUAUAAGCACUUCAAAGAGGAAAUAGUCAAGGAGCUUGGAAUUCAGACUUAGUCGAGGUUGCUUGAGCUUUCGAUCUGGACCACAGAUUUUUGAAAUAAACCAAAACUGGGUACACACCAUGGAUACCAAAGGCUGUACAACAACUAUUUCUUCUCCAACGCCACACCAAAGAUGCUCUAGGAUUACAAAUUUUAGGACCAUCUUUCCCAACACCAGCUGCCAAUAUGGUGGUCUCGAAGCCAACAGCUGCCACCCUACUCCUUGCUUUUAUCUCACACCCAUCUGCUUGAUUAACAACUUCGGUGCCUGUCCCCCUCUGGAUGACUGCGACUGGUGUGGUAAAGGUAUCAACAGUAAAGAGAAAGAGACCAUGCAAAUUUUGAACGAGCGCCUUGCUAACUACCUGGAGAAGGUGCGGAUCUUGGAACAAGAGAACACUAAACUGGAGUGCAAAAUCCAGGAGGAGUGUAGCAAAGAGCUUUGUGUCAUAUGUCCUGACUACAGGUCCUACUACGCUACCAUCGAGGAGCUCCAGCAGAAGAUCUUGUGUACCAAGGCUGAGAAUUCCAGACUGGUCUCACAAAUUGACAACACCAAACUGGCUGCUGAUGACUUGAGAGCCAAGUACGAAGCUGAGGUGUCCCUACGCCAGGGAGUGGAGGCAGAUGCCAACGGCCUACAGCGGAUCCUGAAUGCCCUGAGCCUCGCCAAGGCUGACCUGGAGGCACGAGUCCAGUCUCUGAAGGAAGAGCUCCUCAGCCUCAAAAACAACCAUGAAGAGGAAAUCAAUUCCUUACAGAGCCAGCUUGGGGACAGACUCAACAUUGAAGUGACCGCUGCCCCUUCUGUCGAUCUAAACCGGGUUCUACAAGAAAUGAGAUGUCAGUAUGAGUCCAUCAUGGAGACAAACCGCAGAGAAGUGGAACAGUGGUUCAACACACAGAUGGAGGGGCUGAACCAGCAGGUGGUGACCAGCUCUCAACAGCAGCAGUUCUGCUUGAAGGACAUCACUGAGCUGAGACGCACCAUGAAUGCUCUGGAGAUUGAACUGCAGGCCCAGCACCGAAUGAGAGAUUCCCAGGAAUGCAUCCUGGUGGAGACAGAGGCCCGCUACACGGCCUUACUGGCCCAGAUCCAGUGUCUGAUUGAUAAUGUGGAGGCUCAGCUGGCAGAGAUCAGGUGUGCCCUAGAAAGACAGAACCAAGAAUAUGAGAUUCUGCUGGAUGUCAAGUCCCAGCUGGAGUGUGAGAUUGCCACAUACCACAGCCUUCUGGAGAGUUCGGAUGUCGAGCUUCCCUGUAACCCGUGUGUCACCACAUGUGAGCCUUCCAGUAAGGCCAGCACCAUGGAAUGCACAGCCCCGGCUUACAAUACAUCAUCCUCAGCCUCCCGCGGAUCACGUGAGCUCUGCUGUACCUGCAGAGUACUGCCCCAAAUACUGGUUAAAAUCUUCACCAUCACGCAGGAGAUCAGGGAUGGCAAAGUCAUUUCUUCUCACGAGCACGUGCAGCCUUGCUUCAUCCCCAGAAUUGCCAAAGCCUAACAACCCAAGGUGAUGACAAUGACCCUCAUUCAUGAAAGAGAGGCCAAUACUUGCUCCUACCAAAAAGGCUUAAAAAGUCCCCAGUCCCUUAAGGGAAUGGGAGUUGGUUCCGACUGUGUAACAAGGGACAGGGAGCUGGAACUCUCACAUCAUAACCCUGUUCUUGCCUCUCCCUGUGACUGGUGCUCAUGAAAAAAUAGCUUAGAUUCCUCCUGCAAUCCAUCCAUCAAAGAGAAGUGGACUUAAUACCACCAACUUUGCACAAUAACUUUGAUUAUUGAAUGGUUGCUGCUUGCAAGGACAACACAGUGAGAAGAUACCAUUUAUGUACCCGCCAUUACCAAAACUUCUCACAGGAGGUCCCAGAGGGUUUCAGUCAAUCCCUACAAAAAUUAUUCGAUGUUUCCAGAAGAUUUAGUAAAUAACGACAAACCAAAUACAGAAUGUGGAGUCAAAAGACCUGACAUCCUAAACUUGCCUCUUAGGACCCAGGGCAAAGCAUCUAGCCUCUUUCAAAUUUAAUUUCCUUAUUUGUUAAAGGAGGACCAUGGCUACUUGACAGGUUUGUAGCAUAGAUCAAAGGAAAUUGUUUAUGGCAUGCUACUUGGUACACUGAAGAGCACUAUGCAAAUGUUAUUUUUAUAUAAGCUUUGCUUUGAACUACAGCCCUAGACUUAAUUGUGUCAUUAUCACAUGUCAAAAUUCUUUCCCUGUCAAUUUAGUGAUCCAGUCAUGAUUUUGUAGUUUUAAUAGUGCUCAGCUUUCAGGGAUUAAAAAAAAAAAAAAAAGAACAGAACAAAGUCUUCCUGUGAUCAAGCCUGCAAUUCUACGGCAUAAAUCAUUUUUGAAGUCUUAGGGUUUGUAUCAGAUAUCACUUGAUGGCUGGCGCCCACGACAAAGACAAAAGUAUUGUUUAACUCUGGGCUCAGCAGUCACUUCCUCCAGACAAGUAGCAACUUACACUAAGCGAGUGGAAUGCAGAACUCCCAGAGUGAUCUCUUUCCCAUCAAUAACUUCCUUCUCAUCUGAACGCCCAGAUUACCCCUGGUAGCACUUCACUGCAUUCCAUCUCAGACUGCAGGAGGGAAAUUUGGGACGAGCAUGGGGCUUGGACUCCGAAGACCUAGGAGAGUCUCACCCCAGUCUAUGUGUAUGACCUUGAGUAAAAGGGCCGGAACAACUUGGGCCCUGCAGUGCUAGAAGGACUAAGUGGAAUAAUAAUGGUGAAGGGGUCCUAUAAGCUGUACAAGGCCAUGCAGAAGGGAGGUUUUGUCCCCCAAUUGAAAACCAGGCAUUUGUCAUUUCCUUCCAAAAUACCUUCUUCCUUUGUGUCUGGUUCAGUGAUGGUCCCCAGUGGACCCCACAGGUACAUGCGACACUAACUGGGAAGUCAGUUGGUGAGAAGUCAGAGUUGCUCAAUCUGCUCUGAGUUUUGAUUCCAACAGGAUGCAGGGUUUAGGAACCUUGCUGGACUCAGGCUAACCUUGAGCUGAUAUAGCAACGCCCUUCUCAAUUUAUCCUAAAAAUAGGAUCUCUUCCUCCUACUCAGAGCAAAGUAUCCCAUGUACCACACUCCCAAUGUUAGAAAGUAGGCUGAAUUAGAGAUAUGUGAAACUCAGAACUCUGUGGAUCCCAGUCCUGUAAGGCAAUUAUAAUGCCAGUUUCCUUUUUCUAGAAGUCUUAUAAAGUCCUGGUAAGACAUAGUCUUACAAAGGAUAGACUCCAAAGAGCAAAAUGGCUUUUUGUUUGCUAGAGCCUGUGUUGGAAAGGGAAAGAGUAUCAAAACCCAUUUGGUGAUCCAUAAUCUUAUUUCUAAACAUGGGAGGUGUAGGGAGAUUGGAGCCUGCUUCGGAUUCUGUGUCUCCCUCUCUCUCUCUGCCCCUCCCCUGCUCCUGCUCUGUCUCUCUGUCUCUCU